UGAUUGGUAAUCUGCGUCGUGCCGCGAUGUUAAAUCAGGCGCUUCUUGAAAUGGAUGUGCAUUGCAAGGACUGUGCAUGAAAAAUUUGGCUAAGUGUCAAAGUGCAUAGUCUCUGAAGUUGGCCUGUCAAAAUGCUUAAGGAAUUGCGGCCGCACACAUUUUUAUGCUGUCCGCACUAAUGCUACGGCCGUACUCAUUUUUGUGCGGUCUGCAACCAGUCGUCUCAAGGGCAGGUAAGGAGUGCGGUUCGCAUCAAAAUUAUGCGGCCGCACUCAGGUAAAAAAUUGGGUCCCACGGGUAAAAGUAUAAAUAGGGCUUCCUGCAUCUUUUUAGACUUUUCGAUCUUCUAAGCCCUGAAGCUAAGCUUGCAAAGUAAUUUUUCCCCAUUGCUCUCAAAAUUUUCCCUCAUUUCAUCACCUGCAUCUUCAUUACUGGUAUGUUAAUUUCUUCAUUAGAUUCUUCAUCUUUUGUUUGCUUUUGCUCUUUGAUUUAGGGUUAAUUACAUGCUUAAAAUGUCAAUGUUUAGUUGUUUUUGCUUAGAAUCAUGAGGGUAGCUUUUCGAACGAUAAUUGGGGUUUGGGUAAGUAACUAAUAAUGUUUAAUUGCUAAAAUCAUGACAAUUUGAGGACAAAAUUGAAUAAACCCUAGGACAUGCCCAUAAAGUUUGAAUUAUGCGACGCACACAUUUUUUGUGCGGUCCGCAGUAGAGGCUAUGCGUCCGCACACACUUUUGUGUGGUCCGUAGACCUCUGAGUUAGGAUAAUGGCGUGCUUGGCUUGUGCGGCCGCACCCAAAAUUGUGCGGUCCGCAAUGGACUUGCGUGGCCGCACUCAUUUUUGUGCGAUCCACAGUGAUGAAAAUUCAGAGAACCUAGUAGUCUGAACCUGGGGCUGUGCAGUCGCAGACAAAAUUGUGCGGUCCGCACUUUUGGCUAUGCGUCUGAACUCAUUUUUGUGCGGUCCACACCGGGCAGACUGCGGCCGCACUCAGUUGUGCGGUCUGCAUUGCCCCUUCUAAGAAUGUUUUGUUGUAACAUUCUAUCAUGUUUAUGUAUGCAUUAUGAGCUUCAAUUGUAACUAAUUUCUAGUUCUUAUGGGUUGCAAACAAUGGUUCAAUCACGUGGCAAAGAAGAUAUAGCAAAAGGAAGGGCAGAACCCUCCCGAGGCCGGGGUCGAGGUAAAAGCAACCUCCUCUAGCACCUUAAAGAGUCAUAACCAAGAAACCAACCACAAGCAGAGCCCCUGAUACCUCGAAGACCAGUGAGUAUGUCCCAUCCGGGGAAGCUUCUGAGGGUAACUCCGUGCAAGCACAGUCGGAAGCCCAAUCACAACAAAUCCCAGGGAGAUUCCAUUUGGUCGAUGAGUCUUCUUCAGCUGCCAGUUCGUCUGAAGGCUCGAAAGAGUGUAGUCAAGAUUCUGAGCCCUCUUCCUCACAUGCUCCCCCUGCUCCAAUAAAUUUAGAUGAUGAUGAUGUUCCAGAUGAUGGGAGAGGGGGCGAUAUUGCAGUGGCCGGGUUAGAAAGAUCAAGGAGGCCAGAGAUAUGGGAGGACAAAUUUGUCAGUGCCAAUGCCUUUACCAAGUUUAGGGAAUGGUGGCCAUAGAGGUCGCUCACUCUUGAGCGACAAUUUUUGAUGAAAGAUUUGAACAAGCACAACCUCAAUGUCCUUAGGCAAUUCGAGGAGCGGAAAGGUUGGAAAUGGUUCACCAACACCAUCCUAGAUGCAAAUGAGUACCUAGUCAAGGAAUUCUAUGCAAAUGUUGCUCAUAUAAAAAAGGGUACUAAGGUGACAAAAAUGCAGAAUCUGAAAAUCCGCUUUGACCCCUGUGCACUGAAAAAAUAUGUGGGGUUUGAAGAAGUAGAAGUAGUGCAAUACUUGGAAAAACUAGCUAUGGGUGAUGCAACUCGUCCAUGGUUAGCUGAGAUUAUGGUCAACACCUCCGUGGCUCACAGCAAGGGUUCCAAUUAUCCGGGUCACCCUAAACUUUGAAGCAAAAGGGUGAAAAAUGUUCGUGUGUGGCCGCAUUGACCCAUGUAUCAAUGAAAACAUGCUCCGACUUCCCCGUGCAGUCUUGGUGGCUUCGAUUAUGGCCAGGUACCCGAUAAAUGUUGGUGCCAUCAUGUCCACCAACAUCACUCUAGUUGUCUAGAAGGAUGAAAGAUCCUAUCCAUACCCAAAAUUCCUCACUGAAUACUUCAAGGAUCAAGGGGUGGAGUCGAAGCAUUAUGAUACAGAAGUGAAGGCCGAGAAGCCUUUCUCCUGGUACCAUCUUCAGGGAGCUGACAACCCGAAAUCCAAGGGUAAAGCUACUACCUCCACUGGCCAGUCUGGAGAGCUAGCAAUAGUGGUUAUUGAUUCAGCUAUCAAGCCUUCCACAUCAGCCGGUACUUCCACCAGGACAACAACCAUGCCACCAUCUUCAUCCACCGGACCACCUGCUUCUGCGAGUCUAUCAAUGUCAUUGCCAGUGUCGGCUUCAUCUACAUAUUCUCAGACUGAGCUGUGAGUCUCCCAAACAUUGGUAAGCCUUAAUAACUGGAUGCAGGCAGCUAUUACAAAGAUAACUGCUAUAUCUAGUGAUGUUGCAGCAUAGUCCGCAGCCCCAGCAGAGCCAGAAGUACCUCCGUUAGUGGAGGAAACAUUGAAAAAGAUACUGGAAAACCAGAAAACCAUUAUGAAUACUCCAGUGGAGCAUGAGAAGGUCAUUGAGGACUUGAGAAAGCAAGUAAAAAAGAUGAAGAAGUCUCAAGUAUCGAAGAGAUCAGUGGACAAGUUGAUAAGGGAGGUCACUAAGUUUGCAUCUGCCGGAGAUCUGCCAUUGGACCUGCUUAUGGAGCCUUCAGUCCCAGCAGCAAAAGGCAGCACCAGAGGCAGCAGCCGGCCAGUCUGAGGAGCCGGUUGCCACUUCCCACACUGCUGAGGAGAUGAUCCAAAUGCUCAGCAACCCAGUUGUCCCUCAGCCAGGUGAUGAUGAGAUACAGCUUGAGGCCGAGGUUGCUGAUGAUCCUAUGCAUACUGAGAUCACAUAGGGAUUUCUCUCAACUAUAUGGCCCUUUCCCUGUUCUUAUUUUUGUUAAGCAUUGAGGAUAAUGCUUAUUUUCAUUUGGGCGGGGGUGGUCUAUUUUGAUUAUUUGACAUUUGGGUUGUAAUAACUCUGAUACUAUUUUUUUCAUCUUUAUUUUCCUUUGGUAUGUAUAUAUUUUCCCCAUUUGAUGUAGAUAUUCAUUUUCCUUA